rnacentral:rRNA from 1 species
GACGAACGCUGGCGGCGCGCUUAACACAUGCAAGUCGAACGGAAAGGCCUGCUUUCCCUUGUGGAUUGCGGGUACUCGAGUGGCGAACGGGUGAGUAACACGUGAGUGAUCUGCCCCCAACUUGGGUAUAAGCCUGGGAAACUGGGUCUAAUUCCCGAUAGGACUGCAGGGUGGUGCCUGUGGUGGAAAACGAUUUUCUAGUGGUUGGGGAUGAGCUCGCGGCCUAUCAGCUUGUUGGUGGGGGAAUGGCCUACCAAGGCGGCGACGGGUAGCCGGCCUGAGAGGGUGGACGGCCACAUUGGGACUGAGAUACGGCCCAGACUCCUACGGGAGGCAGCAGGGGGGAAUAUUGCACAAUGGGCGGAAGCCUGAUGCAGCGACGCCGCGUGGGGGAUGACGGCCUUCGGGUUGUAAACUCCUUUCGACCGCGAGGAAGCCACCUGGUUGGAAGGGUGGUGACGGUAGUGGUAGAAGAAGCACCGGCUAACUACGUG